rnacentral:rRNA from 1 species
CCUACGGGUGGCUGCAGUGGGGGAUAUUGCACAAUGGGGGGAACCCUGAUGCAGCGACGCCGCGUGGGUGAAGGAGUGCUUCGGCAUGUAAAGCCCUAUCGGCAGGGAAGAAGCAAGACGGUACCUGACUAAGAAGCCCCGGCUAACUACGUGCCAGCAGCCGCGGUAAUACGUAGGGGGCGAGCGUUAUCCGGAUUUACUGGGUGUAAAGGGAGCGUAGACGGCUGUGCACGUCUGAAGUGAAAGCCCAGGGCUCAACCCUGGGACUGCUUUGGAAACUGUGGAGCUAGAGUGCUGGAGAGGUAAGUGGAAUUCCUAGUGUAGCGGUGAAAUGCGUAGAUAUUAGGAGGAACACCAGUGGCGAAGGCGGCUUACUGGACAGUAACUGACGUUGAGGCUCGAAAGCGUGGGGAGCAAACAGGAUUAGAUACCCGGGUAGUC